UGCAAUCACGAAGAAAAAGGAAUGUGGAAGAAAAUGAAAAAGUAGGAAUAAAUGCAGUGAACAAUUAGAAAGGCCAUAGAGGCGAGCAGUUGCCCAUCCCUGCAGGAAAUACCCUCUAGUGGCCAGAACUGGGUCAGAAGUGUAAUGAGCCAGGCAGCCUGACAUCUGGACUCUUUAGUCCAGCCUCAGGUUUCCACCUGGGUCUGACAACUUCUGAGGUUUGGAGCUCAGAGUAACUUUGGAGUAGAAUCAGAUUCUUCACUUGUAGUAAUGCUGUCGGUGAUGACAAAGAAACUGUACAGGACAAGCUUUGGGUAGCAAGAAAAUAAACACGCAAGGUAGAUGACAAGACAACGGCAACAAAGAAGCAGGUGAGAAACAGUCACCAACCCCAACAGGAAGAGACAUAUGCUCAGUGUAUAAAAUACCCAGCUGGUUGGGACUCCAUGAGCCAAGAGAGUCAAGCAACUUCACGCCAGAGAAUUAGAUGCGUCUUUGCAACCCGGGGAGAUAUAAGAGCUGACUUUUGGUGGCCUGGCUCCAGAGGAACAUAGCUAUCAUCUACUGUUUCCCACUAGGCAUUAGCUUAUGUUUUCAAGAAAGAAGAGGACCUCUGACAGUGUCCUUCUUCAUGUGGGGUCAGUUCCCAGAAUUCAUGGAGAGAAGAAAGAGUUGAUGUGAUGGUGUGAUCAGGUUCAGUACAAGCUGUUGGGUAACAAGUUUCAGAAGGAAAUUGUAAUUUGAAUGUGAAAUGUCCCUCAUAUGCUCAUGUGUUUAAACCCUUGUUCCUCAAUUGGUGAUGCUGUUUGGAAAUGUUCUAGAAACUUGUUGGGUGUGGGUUAAUGGAGGAAGACCUUGAGGUUCUAUAGACCCCCUCACUUCUUAUUUGAUCUCUGCUUCCAAUAGACACAAUGUGAUCCUCUCUCCUCCUCUUCCUCCUCUUCCUCUUCCUCCUCCUCUCCCUCCCUCUCUUCCUCCUCCUCCUUCUCUUCAUCCUCUUUCUCUUCAUCCUCCUCCCCCUCUUUUUUCUCCCCCUCCACCUCCCCUGCCUCCUACUUCUCUUAUUACCACAUCUUCCUCACUGCCGCCAUGAUGUUCUCCACCUUGAUGGAACGAUCCUUUUCAACUCCAAGCUGUAACAAACCCUCCCUCCCAUAAGUUGCUUCUUGUAGGGUAUUUGAUCACAAGAAUAAGGGAAGUAAUUUCAAAUGUCUAGUGGUAGCAGGAGUUAACUAGACAGUGAUAGGAGCAGAUGCCAGAAGGUCCCUACACAGAGCUGAGAAAAUAAAAUCAAACAUCAGUGCUUGAGAAAAGCAGUGAUGUGCAGAAGGAUAAGAAGGAGGCAAGUACAGAAGCUUGUGAUAUGACAGUUCACCUUGCCUUUCCUCCACCUAAGUUGUAUGUUAUAUCGAACUCAGCACACAUCACUUGCUUUUGCUGCUGUGCAUCUUGCAUGCUUCCAAACCUGAGUGGUGCAUCUAGGGACUCAAGUUCAUCGUGUCCCGUGUGUUUGUCAUCCCUUUAAUUUGCAAACUGUUGGAAAGCAGACCUCUAUUUCUUCUUUACCUCUCAGUUCGACAUCCAGAGGCAGAAGUGCAAUAAAUUACAUAAAAAUGAAAAAUUAUUAUGCGGUUUCAUGCUCAAUAUAUCUAGCAUGAAAAAGAAUUCUACCAGGUUGAAAAUCAAGUUGCAACUAUCAAAUUCAUCUUUUUGGAAUCUACAUAGAAACAUGGGCCCUGUCAGUGAUAUUAAUUAAGAUGUUGUUACUUCUAAGCCAUUUGCCCCUCAAACAAAACAUUAGCUAGCCUUCAAGUUUGGACAGUGGAAAUAAAACCCCUGAAUUCUUGGCUAACUGACGCAUCAGGGUUGAUGAUUGAUUGAUGGAUUGUGGUACUACUGUGCAAGCCUAGGGUCAUGCCUAUGCUAGACAAGCCAUCGGCCGUUGAACUAUCUCCCCAGCCCUUUUUAUUUUUUGAGACAGGUUCUCACCGAGUUGCCUAGCCCAGCCUUGGACUUCCUUUAUUGCCUAGGCAAGGCUUGAACUUGUGAUCCUCCUGCCUUAUCCCCUCAACCCUCAAGUCGAUGGGGCCUACACUAGAGUCCUGGAUAGCGGUAGAUAACUCAUCUAGAAGAUUGGACCCAGCAGGGAAGAAUGUAUCCUUGCAUUAAUUUUACAGGAGAAAUUUACAAGUUCUUGCUUUAAGGUUGAGAAUUUCUCAACUGUAAAGUCCUAAGUAGAGCUGAGGCUUUUCUCUGGCCAAUCUGGAUUAUGAUGAAUACCGACCCUUCCGCUGGGUAUUAUUAAACUGCUGGCUGUCAGGCAGGGGCCUCAGCACGUGGGUGGGAUGGGGGAAUCCCUUUUUAGCACUUGGCAGAACCUGAUUUUUAUCUCUAGUUGUCUUUAUUUAUCCUUCUCUACCAGAUAUUUUUUUUCAACUCCCAUAGAUUCCAAUGACAUAUUUAAGGAGAAAAACAAAGAAUUUGCAAUUGUUUCCCAGCAACGUGCAAAUUGGUACUUAAUUGAGAAUUAAUGGUGUGCUAACUGUUCAGUGCUGCCAUUCUCACUGCAAAUUGCACUGGGACCCGCUUGCACUCCUGACUUUGACAUGCUUUUUAUAGGGGUCCAUGAGUAAUUUGAUCUGUAAAAGGGAGCGAAGAUUCCACCUCCUGAAGGAACAGUCCUAAUUAGUAGUGAAAUCUAACUGCUUUUCUCCGUCAGGGUCUCUCUCUCUGGCUAUGUUUGGCUUAAUGCAAACCCCUGCCAUGCUGAGUCUCUACAUUGGAUAGUCCAAUACAGACUGUUUAAUUUUAAUUUCCUUUAGCAGAGUCAGUAUUCAAUUAGCCACACCAAUGAAGGGUUGCAUUAACACACAUAAUAACCCAGAAUGAUAGCAUGGAGCUUCGGUGUUUACAAAGUACUUCCGCAUUCGCUCUUCCCAAACACUGCACUUAGCAACAAUCCUAAGUCUCAUUUUUCAGACAAGAACAGUUUAAACCCCAAGAUCUAAGGAUGUGUCCAAAAUCACACUGUGAGAAGUAGAAGAGGCCCAGAACCAAUUCCAUAGUUUUUAAACCCAUUCAUUUUUUGUGUAUUUUUAUCAAGAAAUUAUUUGAUUGGUGCUAUUGCCUCAAGUUUAUAAUAAUACCUUUGUCAGUUCACUCCUGUUUCUGUAUCAUCCAUUGAUUCUUUUUUGACUGAGCAAUAUUGUGACCACACCUGCUAACUUGCUUUGGAGACCAGAAAUUAAAAAUGAAGGUAAG